rnacentral:rRNA from 1 species
CCGGGGGUAAUACCGGAUAACUCUUUCCCUCACAUGAGGGAAAGCUGAAAGAUGGUUUCGGCUAUCACUUACAGAUGGGCCCGCGGCGCAUUAACUAGUUGGUGAGGUAACGGCUCACCAAGGCGACGAUGCGUAGCCGACCUGAGAGGGUGAUCGGCCACACUGGGACUGAGACACGGCCCAGACUCCUACGGGAGGCAGCAGUAGGGAAUCUUCCGCAAUGGACGAAAGUCUGACGGAACAACGCCGCGUGAGUGAUGAAGGUUUUCGGAUCGUAAAACUCUGUUGUCAGGGAAGAA